rnacentral:rRNA from 1 species
AACGUAGGAGGCGAGCGUUAUCCGGAUUCACUGGGCGUAAAGCGCACGUAGGCGGUCGGUUAAGUCGGACGUUAAAGCCCUUGGCUCAACUGGGGGAGGUCGUUCGAUACUGGUCGGCUUGAGGGUGACAGGGGAGAGUGGAAUUCCCGGUGUAGCGGUGGAAUGCGUAGAGAUCGGGAGGAACACCAGUGGCGAAGGCGGCUCUCUGGGUCAUUCCUGACGCUGAGUGUGCGACAGCGUGGGGAGCAAACGGG